rnacentral:lncRNA from 1 species
GAGAGAGGAGCUCUUCCAAAGGGUGACCAGCCCAACCCCUGGACAUUGGCAUUUAAAACUCUCCAUUAAUUUAUUCCCCAACCAUUAGUUUGUCACAGACUGUUACUGUGUUCCUCAGUUGUUGGGAAAGAAGAAUCUUCAAGAGUGAACAAGAUUUAUAGACUUUAGAAAUUCUGCAAACGAGGUAAGUCAAUCCCAUUUAAACCUGACAUUUAUUAAGUGUGGGAGGUUUUCAGAACAGUGAAAUGCU